UACGAAGGGGGCUAGCGUUGCUCGGAAUCACUGGGCGUAAAGCGCACGUAGGCGGCUUUCUAAGUCAGGGGUGAAAUCCUGGAGCUCAACUCCAGAACUGCCUUUGAUACUGGAGAGCUUGAGUCCGGAAGAGGUGAGUGGAACUCCGAGUGUAGAGGUGAAAUUCGUAGAUAUUCGCAAGAACACCAGUGGCGAAGGCGACUUCCUGGCCUGUUCUUGACGCUGAGGCGCGAAAGCUAGGGGAGCAAACGGG
rnacentral:rRNA from 1 species